CCUACGGGCGGCAGCAGUGGGGAAUAUUGGACAAUGGGCGAAAGCCUGAUCCAGCCAUGCCGCGUGUGUGAAGAAGGCCUUCGGGUUGUAAAGCACUUUCAGUGGGGAAGAAAGCCUUGGGGCUAAUACCCUCGAGGAAGGACAUCACCCACAGAAGAAGCACCGGCUAACUCCGUGCCAGCAGCCGCGGUAAUACGGAGGGUGCGAGCGUUAAUCGGAAUUACUGGGCGUAAAGCGCGCGUAGGCGGCCUGAUAAGCCGGUUGUGAAAGCCCCGGGCUCAACCUGGGAACGGCAUCCGGAACUGUCAGGCUAGAGUGCAGAAGAGGAAGGUAGAAUUCCCGGUGUAGCGGUGAAAUGCGUAGAGAUCGGGAGGAAUACCAGUGGCGAAGGCGGCCUUCUGGACUGACACUGACGCUGAGGUGCGAAAGCGUGGGUAGCAAACAGGAUUAGAUACCCGUGUAGUC
rnacentral:rRNA from 1 species